rnacentral:misc_RNA from 1 species
CCCACAACCACCGUUCCACAAUUCUUUUACAAAGCCCAUUACGUACACGUCCGAUCCUAGCUAUUUCCCUUUCUUUAUCACAAAUACCCACCAUCUUACACCAACUUCAUUUCCUUUAUUCCCCUUCCAACAUUUAUGGAGUCCGUCGCCUCCAGUUCUUCCUCUUCCGACCGCCGUCUCCACCCCCACUUCAGGCCUACCCAACCCUUGCAAGAUCGCAUAUUCCGUGCCCUCCAUCACCACCUCCGACUCCUCCACCGAUCCGAAUCUAACUUCUUUAUCUUGGGUGCCACAGGUAAUGUCUACACCGUUACCUUAACCACCACCCCUUCUUGUACUUGCCCUGACCGUAGAUCCCCAUGCAAGCACAUUCUAUUCGUUCUUAUUCGCGUAUUGGGUGUCUCCCUUGAUGAUACUUGUCUCCGGAGGAGAACUCUCCGCCCCUGCAGGAUCAACCGCCUACUUGACACGUCCUCACUGUCUGAUUCAUUAGCGAGUGCCAGCGUCCGUCAGAGGUUCCAUCAGCUUUUCUUUCAGGCAAGGCAAGGUGGGUUGAGGCCUCAGGUGGAGAUUGAAGAAGGAACGAUGUGUCCAAUUUGUCUUGAUGAAAUGGAGAAGGAAGAGAGGGUGGUGGCUUGUGGUACAUGCAAGAAUGUUGUUCAUGAAGACUGCUUGGUUAGGUGGAGAAGAAGUAGGGGAAGGAGGGGAGGUAGCUGUGUGAUAUGUCGAGCCAGGUGGAGGGAUCAGAGCUCUCAGGAGAGGUAUCUGAAUUUGGCAGCCUAUGUCAGCGAGGAUGACACGGCACCAAGUGGAAGUCUCUGUUCUGGCUAAGGUCCACAUUCUGAUCUCAGGACAAAAGAAAUGUAAAUUAUGGGAUGAUUUCAUUGAUUUGAUUUGUAAAUAAUACAAGCAUACACUAACCUGAAGAAAAUUAAUUCUGUUUUAUGUAUAUAACUAGUUAGGUUUAUCUUUUGUCGACAGAUCAUAAUUUUUAUUAAUUUUAGCUGUUCGUUGCAAGUGCUGACCUUCUUAAGCUUAAAAUCAG